UCGUUAUCAGAGGUGGAGACAUUUAGAAGUCGUUCUUAACCAGAGUGAAGCUUGUACUUCGGAAAGUCAGCCUCAUUCCUCAGCACUCACAGCACCUAGUUCUCCAGAUUCCUCCUGGAUGAAGAAGGACCAGCCCAGCUGGUUGGGAGCUUGGGAGCACAACACAGAGUGUGUUUUUCAAGAAACCCAUUCAAAGCGGAAUAAAGACCCGAAGCACAGGAGCAGAGCAGGCCAGCACACCCCAGCCGAGGUGGUUCGCGAGCCCUGGCGACAUGGGGCGCUGCUGCUGGGGUCUGACCAGAGACGGCAAUCUGGCCUUGGAACCGCGCUAGUCCUGCUCAGCUGGUCCGCACCCCCCGCCGCCGGAACGCGGGCAGAGCCGAGCUGCGGGCGUCACCGCCAGGGACUACACUUGGCUCACACGAGGAGCACAGCCACGGGUCCGCAAAGCCUUCUUGGGCUCCAGCCUGGCCUCUGAAGUCAGGAAGUUUGCAGCUAAAAAGGAAGAGAAAGAAGCUGAGUGUAGAGAAAGAGGCUCUGAGUGCUUCUGGGGCAACCCAAAGUCCCAUUUCCCAGACUGGCCCCGGGGCCGGGAGUGGGGGGCAGGAUGGGAGCAGAGCCAAGCGAUGGACCCUCAGAACCUCCCCACUGCACUGAAGCCAGAACUCUGGUUUUUUUAAUCUAUUUUAUUUGACUGCCAGGUAAAAUUUAUUUCCAAAAAGAGGAGGCUAAAAAUAAAAGUUUGGAAAUCUUUGACCUGCACCGUACUGGUAGACAGGUGGUCCUCUAACAUAACAACAAAACUUUUUACAACCGUUCUUCUAUUUCUUCAGCUAUAGGUGUGGGGAAGGACCUCAUAAUACCUACCCUCCUGAACCUUGCAGGCUGCUGGAAAGAGCAAAUGAGAUCAGAAAACUAAGGUUCCGAGAGUAAACAACUUAACCAAGCCCAGGUAGAACCUCUACUCACCCAGGUCGCUGCAUAUUCCCUUCACAGCCUGGCCACCGGCUUCUCCUCCCCAAGCACUGUGAACCUUGUGUCUGCCUGGUUUCGGCAGAAGCCUCCAGCUGGUUCCUUCCGUGCUUCCAGAUUAUGCUGUACACUGCUGCCAGACGCCUCCCCCCCACCUACCUGCCCUGCACCCUCGUGAGAUCCCACAUCGCCUUUGUCAAAUCAAAUCCGCACAGCCCUGCACUCCAGGCUGCGCGCAUCUGACCCCCCGGGGCUUUCCAGCCUCAGGCCCCACUCCUCCACUCUCCAGUUCCUCCGUUGAGCCAAAGGGACUGCUCGCUGCACAACACCCUAACACCGCCCUACCUGUGGCCCCCAGAUCCCCCACAGGCUGUCCCCCUCCUCCCUCCUGCCCUCUCCCAGCCCUCCCUGGAAGCCUGCACGACUCAUCUGUACGAUUCA